ensembl:lncRNA
AUGGGGAGGGGGGGUGGGCCUCUCCAUGUAAAUCACGUCAUUUGCGUGCCCCGCCCCGCCGACGCCGCUAGAUUCCAACAAGCAAGAAACGCCCCCUCCCACAGCCGGCCCCUCUCACUGCGUUCCCCCACCCGCGCGAAGGGGGAGGGGCGGAGGAUGCAAAUGAACCUCGUGUCUGCCAAGGACCCCAGUUUCCUUUCGCCCGGGUGUUGGGGGGUGGUCCCGAACUUCCUCGCCCCGCCCCGCGCGGGUCGGGCCUGCGCAGGCGCUGUCCCCUCCGCGGGGCGCGGUCACGUGCCCACCGGGCGAGGCGAGGCGGGGCGGGGCGUCGCCCGCGGUGGGGGCGGGGCAUGGCGCGCUGUGAGGCGCAGGGCGGCUGGCACAAACGGCGGCGCCGGGGCCGGAGGAAAAAGCUCGGUGAGGAGGUUGCGGGGCGAGAAGGGCGCAGGGAGGAGACAGAGUCGGAGCCCGGACGCCGGCGCGAGCUGGGCGAGGCGUGGGGGCGCGCUCCGGGGCCCGCGGGUGCUACCCCUGGGAGGGGGAUGGGGGGUGCGGCGCGGGGGAGGGGACGCGCGCCGGGGAUGUUGGGUGCCGGCGGUUGGGGGGUGGGGCGGGGGCGGGGUGCGCGAGCCGGGCUUAGGCCGAGGGGAGGGGGAAGGGAGGGGGUCGGAGCGGUCCCUAGGCCCUGUCCCCGUCGCCUACAGCUCAGAAGGGGCCGCAGGGCCCGCCCCCGGUGGGGAGCCUGGGGGUACCCGGGAGGGGGGCGACUUUUUCCCUCGUCCUGUCUCGGAGUGGGUGCACCCUCCUUCGUUCUUCCCUCUGUCGCCGCGGACCCUCUCCCCGAAGGCCCCUCCCGUCGGUCGGUCUCGGGACCUCCCUUCCGUCUGGAUGUGUGUCCUCCCCUGGCCGGCUUCCUCCCGUCGGGCUCGGGUCGACCCCACCGCCCCGCUCCGUCCCGGUCCCUCCCUCCCAGCUUCCCUCCGGUCUGUUUUUCGGUCCCUGGGUCCCUGGGUCUCUUUGUCCCUGGACUCCCCAGUUUCCUCUGUUGACCCCGCCACCCCCAACUCUGUCUCUGGAUCCCCCACAUUUCUCUGUGCCUCUCUGGAACGCCAAGGCAGAUCCCUCGUAUUUUGCAAACCCCCUCUUCCCCACCUCUCCACAGCACCCUUUUCUACUCCGUGUGUGUGGUUACUGCAUCCCACAGCCCACCCCACAGUCCUGUCUUGGGGUCAUCUACCCAGCCUCUGA